rnacentral:rRNA from 1 species
UACGUAGGUGGCGAGCGUUAUCCGGAUUUAUUGGGUUUAAAGGGUGCGCAGGCGGAUUUUUAAGUCAGCGGUAAAAUCGAGGGGCUCAACCCCUUUAAGCCGUUGAAACUGGUGAUCUUGAGUGGGCGAGAAGUAUGCGGAAUGCGUGGUGUAGCGGUGAAAUGCAUAGAUAUCACGCAGAACUCCGAUUGCGAAGGCAGCAUACCGGCGCCCGACUGACGCUGAGGCACGAAAGCGUGGGGAGCAAAUAGG